GUCAAUUUGAAUCUCCUAGAAAUGAUCAACCAACUCAACAAAUUAUCCACUUCACUGAAGCCUAUUGUUGACUCGCUAUGUGGAUUGGGAAGAUUGCAAAAUGCUCUGAAACUCAUUCUCUCUAAUCCAACUCAAUUAGAGUAUCCUUUGUACUCAAUAAUUCUGCAACUAUCAGCAAGAGAAAAGCCAAUGAAGAAGGCCGUUUGGUUCACGGGCAUCUCAUAACAAACGGACUGCAUUCAAACUCGUAUUUGAACACGCAGCUAAUCAUUUUGUACUUGAAGCUCGGCGACAUGGGCAGCUCCCGCAUGGUGUUUGAUAGAAUGCCUGAUAGGAGUGUGGUUGCUUGGACAGCUUUGGUCUCUGGAUGUACUCAAAAUAGAUACUCGGAGGAAGCUCUUGCAGUGUUCUCAGCGAUGCAUAGGGCAGGUGUUAUGGCUAAUCAAUUUACUUAUGGGAGCGCUUUAAGGGGCUGUUCUAGUAUGGGGUGCUUGAACAGAGGAGUGCAAACUCAGGGAUGUGUUCAAAAAGUAUGCUUGUUCACGAUUUGUUUGUGCAGAGUGCAUUGAUAGAUUUGCAUUCGAAGUGUGGGAAGAUGGAGGAUGCUUGCUACAUCUUUGAUUCAAUGUCAGAGAGGGAUCUUGUUUCUUGGAAUGCAAUGAUUGUGUUAUCAAAGCCGCUGAGGGAGAAAGUGGAUUGGUGAAAGUCAUCCAAAUACAUGGAUUCAUUGUGCAACUGGGUUUUGGUUCACACAACGUUUAGACUGGAUCACUGAUUGAUGCUUAUGCAAAAUGUGGGAGUGUUAGGAUUGCAAUCAUGUUUACAAGAGUAUGCUUAAAAAAGAUAACAGUAUCUUGUACCGCAUCACGGAUAUGCUCGUGAAGGUAUCUAUAGUAGAGAUAUCUUUGAUCUCUUCAACGAAAUACAUCAGAUGUGUAUGGGAGUUGACAAUAUUAUGCUUUGCUCUGUACUUAAUAUAUGUGCCAAUGUGACAUCACGGGACUUGGGAAGACAAAUUCAUUCCUUGGAAUUGAAGUGUCAGUCCAUUCAUGAUUUGGCCACGGAUAAUGCUCUAAUUGAUAUGUACUCAAAAUCUGGAGAAAGUGGAGAUGCUGAAUGUGUUUUCUGUGAGAUGGAGCAGAAAAAUGUUGUCUCAUGGACAUCGCAGAUUGGUGGAUAUGGGAAGCAGGGUUAUGGGCUCAAGGCAAUUGCCCUAUUCAAGAAGAUGGAAUAUGAAAAAGUGAAGCCAAACGACGUGACAUUCCUGACUCUUCUCUUUGCGUGCAGUCAUGCUGGUUUGACUAAUGAAGGAUGGGAAUGCUUCAAUGACAUGGUUAGCAAAUACAACAUCUUGCCAAGAGCUGAGCACUAUUAUUGUGUGGUUGACCACCUUGCACGUGGAGGGCAGUUAGAAGAAGCUUAUAAUCUAACAAGACAGAUGAAUAUUAAGCCUAAUGCCUCACUUUUGGGGCGGGGCGGGGGGCAUCCUUGGAGCAUGUAGGUCUACGGUGUUGGAAUUUUAGAGACAUUGGUAGUUAUGAAGUUAACGAACAAAAGUUGAAAAAAACUUGAAUGUGAAAGGCUGUAACUUCAUUAUUUUUAUUCAUAUCAUCAUGCCUUUAAAUAGAUAAUACAUAUUAACUGAAUAACAAGAAAAUAGAAUUUAUUACUGGACUUAUAUUUAAAAAAAUGAAAUUAUCUUAAUCCACUAAAUCAAUAAACAGAAUUUUGACCCAAUUAAUUCACUAAAUCAACAAGCAGAAUUUUGACCCAAUCAACCCACUAAAUUAGUAACUUUGAAUCAAUAUUCAACAUACGGUGACAUAUCUCUUGGAGAAGUAGCAGGUAGGCAUCUGUUUAAUAUAGAACCAAAGAAGCCCGUCAACUAUGUCGUUUUAGCAAGCAUAUAUGCUUCAGCUGGCUUUUGGGACAGUGUUUGGAGCAUAAGGAAAUUAAUAAAGAAGAGAAGGCUUAAAAAGGAUCCUGGAUACAGCCUUUCUUGGUCUGCAUAUACAAGACUGGCUCGUUUGCAGUCAAGUUGAAAUACUAAGACUACUAGGAGAAACUUGGUUUUCCAGAUAUAGAGUUCUUUGGAUGCUCUUUGUCUUGUGUCAAUGCUACCAAAUUGACAAGGUUAAGCGGAACAUGCCUUUUAUAUUGCCAUUUGCCAUAAUGCAAUUAUCUGCCAUUGUGAUCCUUGAUCACUAAUUGAAGAGCUAGAAUUCAUGUAGCCAACCCCACGUAGUGGGAUUAAUGCUUGAUUUUUUGUUGUUAUGGUCCUUGAUCCCUUGUUUUUGCUGUCCUCUAUGAUUUGGCUCUUUUUUGGCAAACCCACGAGUCUUCUGGCUGGAAAUGCAGGCAUUGGCAAUUAUUUAAUGCCACUCAAUGAACGUUUGUGAUUAGUUGACAGAGAACUACAAAAUUGUAAAAGGUGUCUAGUUAUUGACAGAAUCCAAAAAGGAGAAUGUGCAUACACAGUUCCUGUUCCAAGCACUUUGGAUACCAGUUUCUUGAUGAAGAUUUCUUUCUUUAUACGAUAUUUGGUUCAUUUUCUUCAACAAAGUGCUGCAAGGAGGCACACAUAACAUUCCAACUGGAUUCGAUUUCUACCAAUUGGCUGUGGCAUUGCUUCUUUUGCAUCCUUAGCAACCCAACAUCUAUGCUUUGCUGGCCCAGUAGCCUCCGUUGCUUUGUGUUGAAAAGUGCUAUAUGUGCUGCUAAAGAUCAGAAGUUGAAGAAGUCAAACAGUUGAAAUUGUUGAGGAUUUGGUGGAAUAACAGAAGCUAAAAAAUUGCUGAGUUUUUGAAUUUGAUUAUGAAUUUCAAUUGCUUGUUUAUUUUAGGGAUUUCUUAUUGAGUUUGUUACAUUUUUUUCUGUAUAAAUACAUUCAUAAGUUAAUGAAUGAACUAUCAGUUUUUGCAGUCCAUUACCUCUGUUACUUAUUUUCUGUAGUAUUUCCAACAAAUUGGUAUCAGAGCCUUAUUGAUCUUAAGGGUUUGUGUUUGAGAGUGAGUGAAUCCAGUGAGGAACCUUCUUUUUUACAAAAAACCAAACACCCAGCCUUCAAGCCAGAUUACAGCUAUGGCAGGAAACAAUUUCAUGUCAGCACCACCAAUGUUUACAGGUGAAAAUUAUCAGAUUUGGGCAGUGAAGAUGGAGUCAUACUUGCAGGCAAGUGAUUUAUGGGAUGUGGUAACAACUGAAAUACCAACAUUACCUGAGGAUCCAACCAUUGCCCAAAUCACAGAAAAUAGGACAGCAACAAGAAAAGGGUAUAAGGCCAAGACCUGUAUUCACUCAGCCGUAUCAGAAAUGAUUUUUACAAAGAUCAUGACUUGUGAAACAGCAAAACAAGCAUGGGAUCUUCUCAAGGAGGAGUACCAAGGUAAUCAGAGGACAAAGCGGAUGCAAAUUCUGAAUCUCAUGAGAGAAUUUGAGAUGAAAAAAAUGAAGGAAGCUGAGAGCUUCAAGGAAUAUGUUGA